GACGAACGCUGGCGGCGUGCUUAACACAUGCAAGUCGAACGGAAAGGCCCUGCUUUUGUGGGGUGCUCGAGUGGCGAACGGGUGAGUAACACGUGAGUAACCUGCCCUUGACUUUGGGAUAACUUCAGGAAACUGGGGCUAAUACCGGAUAGGAGCUCCUGCUGCAUGGUGGGGGUUGGAAAGUUUCGGCGGUUGGGGAUGGACUCGCGGCUUAUCAGCUUGUUGGUGGGGUAGUGGCUUACCAAGGCUUUGACGGGUAGCCGGCCUGAGAGGGUGACCGGCCACAUUGGGACUGAGAUACGGCCCAGACUCCUGAGGGAGGCAGCAGUGGGGAAUAUUGCACAAUGGGCGGAAGCCUGAUGCAGCAACGCCGCGUGCGGGAUGACGGCCUUCGGGUUGUAAACCGCUUUCGCCUGUGACGAAGCGUGAGUGACGGUAAUGGGUAAAGAAGCACCGGCUAACUACGUG
rnacentral:rRNA from 1 species